AGGGAAUUUCCUGUGAGCUCGGCUUCCUCAACAUGGCAGCGCCCUUGUCAGUGGAGGUGGAGUUCGGAGGCGGCGCGGAACUCCUUUUCGACGGCGUAAAGAAACAUCAGGUCACCUUACCUGGACAGGAGGAGCCCUGGGACAUCCGGAACCUCCUUGUCUGGAUCAAGAAGAAUUUGCUAAAAGAGCGGCCAGAGUUGUUCAUCCAGGGAGACAGCGUACUCAGUGUCCCCUCCACUUCCUGGGUGAUUUUUCAUCGGAACCUCAGGAGGACAAGCUCCCACUACCCUGUCCUCCAGCCCACGUGUCUCAGCCUCUCUGCCCCUGCUGCCGACUGCCUCCUGCCCUUCACUCCUGGCUCCUCACGCCCUCUUUCCCACAGGCGGCCAGGAAUUCUGGUGCUGGUUAACGAUGCGGACUGGGAACUGCUGGGCGAGCUGGACUACCAGCUGCAGGACCGGGACAGCAUCCUCUUCAUAUCCACGCUGCAUGGCGGCUGAGGGCCCCGCUCUGGGCUCGGGUUCCCUUGGCGUGGGGAGAAGAGCACAAUCAGACAUCCCCUGGGACCCUGCUUCCAGGCCACCAGAUGGGCUCCUAAGACCCUCCCCCGGCAAAAGGCUGCCUGCAGCUCAUUCUGGAGAGAGAGAAAGAGGAGCCAGCAAAAGCUUGGACUGGCACAUAGAGGCCUGGGAUGUCAGAGUGCCUCAGUUUCCUCCUCAACAGCAACUGAAUAUUUAUAAGUAUCUGAAAGUAGGCGUGAUCCUUGAUGGCACAAAUGUAGACUUUAUCUCCUAUCCCACCUCCUGCAGGAAGCAGGAUGGGGGCAGGCCAGCACCUGGUAGGCAGGAUGGUUUGCCCCUCCUCCCUUCAUCCCUUCUGGAAGUCUUGGGGCCUCAUUGCCUGCAACAGCUGGCCUUGGGCAAAUAAAAGACUAGGUUGUUUACUAGCUUUGCCUGGAGCUUCAUCCUUAGAAACCAGUGGCACUCCACAUCCCCCCAGCCAUGGUCCCUGGUCCAACCUCUCUGCCCUUAGCCUGGGACUUUCAGAGCUGCCCUUCACCCAAAAAGAGGGCAGGGGUUCAAACCCAGACUACACAGACUGUCUGGGAGAGAGUGGUCUGAUAGGGCCAUCUGGAGAAGGGGAUGGCAGAGCCUGUCUGUGCUGACCAGUCUGGGUCCCAGGACACUUCUCUUCUUGUCCAAGGCCAGGCUUUGUCCCACCAGCUGCAGCCCACAGCCCCAGAAACCAGAAUGGGGUGUCAUAUCAAACUGCUGAACCUCCCUUCCCAUGACCUGGAGAAGAAGCUUCGCUGGGGGAAAACCUCAAAAAAAAGGGGGGGGGCAUUAACAUCAUCCCACCCAAAACAUUGUUUUUCAUUAAAUGUCAAUAAUUUAAGGUAGAACCUCUCUCCUGUGGAGAUGAAAGUGCCAAAUGGUUGUCUCAGCAGUGUUGGGGAUGGAGGGGAUGUAUAUGCACAUCAUUCUCAAUGCCUAGAGGACACACGACCCCUGGCUUCUGGGCUUCUCUCCAGCAAUCUACGGGUAGAGACUCUCUGGGUAUGUGUAGGUGGGGGCCAGCCAUGUUGGGGUUAUGGGUAGUGGGUAUGGUCUGAGUGCAAAUUAAGGCCAGUGUUGGGGUCCAGCUGCUGUCUAGAAAGGCUGUUACAACCAACGAGAACUAGGUGCUGAGGUUAGGGUCUCCAUGUUAGGGAACAGAGCAAGGGAUUUGAAAUGGCCCCCUACAGUCUCAUUGAUUCCUGUAUCCUGGAGGUUCCUCCUUGCCUCCAGCCCCACUGGAGUGGCCCAUUGUCCCACCUGGGAUUCCAAGUCCUGGAAACCAGACGAUAGAAUUCCUUUCCCGCCUGCACUGGGAAGAGGGAGAGUAGAUUCGGGAUACCCCUUCUGCCAGGACACCCCGAUUAAUGCUGAGGAGUAGGGCAGGAGGAUAUACUGAGAAAACCAGGUUCUCCCGGGUGGGGGGAUGCCAGCACCAUCGCUAAACUGGCCCAAGCCCCGCUCCGCAGCAUUUUGGGUCAUUUUCAGUCCCUAGCGGAACGGGGGUCAGAUACAGGUGACCUGGGCUCAGCCCCAGCAACGCCCAGCUGCCCCCCCACAACUCCUGAACCCCCACUUUUGAGGAAAUAAACGAAUAAGUAAACCCUA